rnacentral:sRNA from 29 species
AGCUGAUGCAUCUUGUGGUUUCUCUCCCAGUACCACCGCAUUAGCUGUUCCCCUCUGGAGGUUUUUGACCUUCACAAUUACAAGGGCCCUGGUUUUCCGGUGGCCCUCUUUU